UUAAUUAAUUGCAGACAGGGGUUACGCUGACAUUUGUAGUAAACAAUGUCUUUGUCAUAAAAUGUUGCUCUCAGUUGCUUAUCACUUGGAAUCUUUUUAUCUUAUUUACAGUGAAACCUUAUACAUAUUUGCUGAGAUGAAAGUUCAGCUUUCAUUCUGCUAAAACUGAUGAGCUAUUAAAGGCAACUAGGACAGUAAUUAUUUUAAAAAAAAAUCCUGUUAGACAAGUUAGAAGACUGCCUGAAGAAAAAUGCAACCAAUAUUGUUUUGGAUGUUGAAUCAACAAAGGCACUUAAAAGGAAAACACUUCAGGCAUGAAUCACAUACAAAGUACCUGUAGAGCAUUCCAGGAAGAAGACUGACACAAAAGAAUACCUUGCUGUUGUUGCUGUUCCUCUCUGAAAUGAACUGGAUGGUGCAAACACACCUUAAGAUAAAUAUCUAGUUUCUCAUAUCCAGGUGUUUUGGAAAGAAUGCAAUAAAGACUGCCAGUCCUAUUUAGUAAACUAGGAAGGCUGCUAAUAAAAAUUUUGACAUGUUGA